CUCAACGAAAAAGAAAUAGAAAAAAUAAGAAGAAGAAUGGCACCUUUGACUGUGAGUCUCUUCAUUUUGAUUCACAAAUAUUUGUCCUUGCAUGGGUAACUCCUUUCCUUUUUUUUU
rnacentral:ribozyme from 1 species